rnacentral:lncRNA from 1 species
GUUCAGGUCAGAUCAUCUAGCUGGUAACAAGGGCCAUAAACCCUUAUCAUUGUUCUUAGACCCAAUGUUUGUUUCUCCUGGAUCCUUCUCUGCUUGGACCUGAACUAACCUAUUUUUCAGUCAACCCAUAAGGAAUUUCCUUUUUCCACCCAGCAUUCCUGUAUACUUCCUCCUCCUAGUCUUGGGCAAAGGUGACUUUUCUGAGGUCAAUUAGGGUACCAGGUCUGAGGGCUUGUGUUCCUCUCAUUCAGAAGUAUUGACUGAAUGACUGAAAAAAGAACCAACAGAUCAACCAAUGAGGAAACAAGUAAAUGAAGAAACCAAGAUGUCCCCGACCAAUCAAAGGUAAAAUGUUGCCAUAGGCAGCUCUGCUUGUACCUCUAUGCAAUGGACAAACAAGGAGACCAUUUUCUCCUUGUACAUAGGCAGUGUCUGGAGCCAGGAUGUAUAUGCUAACUAGUGACCUAGCUGGCCUGAUCAGGAGUGGGCAGCUCCAGCAAGCCUAACUCCACAGAGCCAGAGAGCAUUCAUAACCUCGUGUCCAGGAGAGAGUGCCAGCCGAUAGAAGCCAGAAGUGUGCUUCUGCAAUGAAUCAUCAGGAUAAAGGAGGUUGGUGGUAGGUAUUGGAAAUCAAGAGAAAGAGCCAAGGUGAAGAUCCAAGAGGUUAGAGAGCCACAGAAGGUUAGCCAAGCAGAUUAGAGUAGGUGGGCAGGAGGACAGCCUGUGCCAGCACCGGAGACCACAAGUAUAAUGGGUAAUACAUAUACAUGGAGCCAAUCUCAGAAGGUUCCAAAAGGGAUACCAAGCAGUAGUCGCAUUCUCACUCUUGUCUUCCAAUUCCCCAGUUCUCCUCUCCUGAAUUUCUUCUGUAUCCUUCCAUAGAUAGCCCAUGCAUAAGUAAGCAUAUGUGUAUCCACAACCUUUAUACC